rnacentral:rRNA from 1 species
AAGACCUUGCACUUUUGGAGCGGCCGAUGUCUGAUUAGCUAGUUGGUGGGGUAAUGGCCUACCAAAGCUUCGAUCAGUAGCUGGUCUGAGAGGACGGCCAGCCACACUGGGACUGAGACACGGCCCAGACUCCUACGGGAGGCAGCAGUGGGGAAUUUUGGACAAUGGGCGCAAGCCUGAUCCAGCCAUGCCGCGUGAGUGAAGAAGGCCUUCGGGUUGUAAAGCUCUUUCAGCCGGGAAGAAAAGGUUGCGACUAAUAAUCGCAAUUCAUGACGGUACCGAAAGAAGAAGCACCGGCUAACUACGUGCCAGCAGCCGCGGUAAUACGUAGGGUGCGAGCGUUAAUCGGAAUUACUGGGCGUAAAGGGUGCGCAGGCGGUUUUGUAAGUCAGAUGUGAAAUCCCCGAGCUUAACCUGGGAACU